AAACUUACCUGGCAAGGGAGAUACCGUGAUCAAGAAGGCGGUUCACCCAGGGUGAAUCGUCAAUUUUCACCUCUGAAGGUGUCUGAGUAAUCCUCAGUCAUUGCACUCCCGCUGUGCUGACCCCUGCGAAUUUCCCAAAUGUGGAAAUCUCGAUUGCAUAAUUUCUGGUAGUGGGGGACUGCGUUCGCGCUCUCCCCUG
ensembl:snRNA U1 U1 spliceosomal RNA